CGCGGCCUAUCAGCUUGUUGGUGAGGUAACGGCUCACCAAGGCAUCGACAGGUAGCUGGUCUGAGAGGACGAUCAGCCACACUGGGACUGAGACACGGCCCAGACUCCUACGGGAGGCAGCAGUAGGGAAUCUUGCGCAAUGGGCGAAAGCCUGACGCAGCAACGCCGCGUGGGGGAUGAAUGCCUUCGGGUUGUAAACCCCUUUCAGCAGGGACGAAAAUGACGGUACCUGCAGAAGAAGCUCCGGCCAACUACGUGCCAGCAGCCGCGGUAAUACGUAGGGAGCGAGCGUUGUCCGGAAUUAUUGGGCGUAAAGAGCUCGUAGGCGGUUCAGUAAGUCGGGUGUGAAAACUCAAGGCUCAACCUUGAGACGCCACUCGAUACUGCUGUGACUUGAGUCCGGUAGAGGAGUGUGGAAUUCCUGGUGUAGCGGUGAAAUGCGCAGAUAUCAGGAGGAACACCAGCGGCGAAGGCGGCACUCUGGGCCGGUACUGACGCUGAGGAGCGAAAGCAUGGGGAGCAAACAGGAUUAGAUACCCUGGUAGUCCAUGCCGUAAACGUUGGGCACUAGGUAUGGGAUCAUAUCAACGGAUUCCGUGCCGUAGCUAACGCAUUAAGUGCCCCGCCUGGGGAGUACGG
rnacentral:rRNA from 1 species